GCCCAGACUCACCUGAUAGUCCCAGGAAUGAGAUUAUGAGAAACAAAUGGAGCAGAGUCCCAUGCAGCCAGGGUGAGCCUAUUUCAGCACACAGCCUGCUGACUCCUAAAGCCCACUUGCAGUUGGGUGGGGCCAUGUGACCAGUCCUGCCAAGUGAGCAGUGAGUGGCAGUGACACACAGAAGAAUAUGGAAGAGUGGUGUGCCGUCUUCCAGCUUUCUCUUCUGCAGCUGCAAUCCUGGAGGCCAUGUGUUGAGACAGCAGAACCGCACAAUGGAGUAACCUGGAUUGCCGAGUCAGCACAUGGAGGACAGCUGUCUUUAGAAACUUGCUUGAUGGUGCAUGAGUGGGAAAUAAACAUUGUGGUGUUAAGCCACUGAAAUUCAAG
rnacentral:lncRNA from 1 species